rnacentral:lncRNA from 1 species
GUCAACACCUUAAGUUGGUGCUCCCCUAGUUGAUGUAUAAAAGAAAAGAAAAAAACAGUCAUUUGGUUGAUCUUCCCUUUGUUUUGCUUCCUGUCUUUAAGUUUGGUACCUCUCCACGGGACUUUCCACACUGCCAGAGCCAGAAGCACACCAGGACAGAUAAAAUAAUGAGAGGCAUAGCAUAUUUAGCAGGUCUGAGUCUACUUAUUCAGUUUGGUGAGAAUGUGGAUCCUUACCUGUGCACCCACCUGGUCUACACUUUUGCCAUCAUGAAUUAUGCUAAUGAGCUCAUCACCUACGAGUGGAACGACAAGACCCUCUACAAGUCUUUCACCGCCUUGAAGACCAAGUAAUAGUUUCUGAUGAUGAAUACAAUUAAAUCAAUUUUGUAUCUAUUAAAAUGGUAAUUUGUUGCUCAUUUGGUAAAACACUACAUUUCUCUUUUUUACUAGGCAAGUCAGUUAAGAACAAAUUCUUAUUUACAAUGACGGCCUACUGGGGAACAGCGG